AGCCGUUUCUCAGGCUCCCUCUCCGGAAUCGAACCCUGAUUCUCCGUCACCCGUAACUGCCACGGUAGGCCUGUACACUACCGUCGAAAGCUGAUAGGGCAGACAUUUGAAUGAUCUGUCGCCGGCAUAAAGCCAUGCGAUCCGAACAGUUACUAUGACACUCCUUGAAACCGGGCGUAGACCGCAUUGUGUUUCUGAUUAAUAAAUACCACCCUCCCCGCAAGAUUCGGGUCUUUGCACGUGUAUUAUCUCUAAAUUUACUACUGUUAUCCAUGUAAUACGAGAUCUUCUAAUACAUAAU
rnacentral:rRNA from 1 species